rnacentral:rRNA from 1 species
UACGGGGGGAGCAAGCGUUGUUCGGAUUUACUGGGCGUAAAGGGCGCGUAGGCGGCGCAACAAGUCACUUGUGAAAUCUCCGGGCUUAACCCGGAGCGGCCAAGUGAUACUGUCGUGCUAGAGUGCGGAAGGGGCUACUGGAAUUCUCGGUGUAGCGGUGAAAUGCGUAGAUAUCUGGAGGAACACCGGUGGCGAAGGCGGCAUCCUGGACCGGUAUUGACGCUGAGGCGCGAAAGCCAGGGGAGCAAACGGG